UUUCUCCUCAAUUUCCGAUAGUCGUUGUACAAAGGUUCCAGGUAACGAUACACGUCAACAUCAGUCCCAGUUAGACGCAAGUAAAAGGCACCAAGAACCCGAACAUAUUUGUAGUCUUCGUUCUUGAUGAACUCGAUUACAAUUUCCUUCUCCGGCUGAAUCUGGAGCAUCUUCAUAACAAGACACAUGAACGGCGUGGGUUUGCGGUUGCCACCAUAUGUACCGCCGAGGUGGUCGAGCUCCAUGGCUUUAUCAACCAGUGUCUCCGCCGUCAACCCAAAACAUUGUUCCUUCCAGUAAGUAUUCUGGUAGAUCUUUGAACGAAGAAUCUUCUCCACCAGAUUCUGCGGGUUCGUUCCCCGUAUGCUUUUGGCAGCUGGGUCCGUACGAUUAGCCAUAACUACCAGCUAUAGAACAGCUAAAUCCGUGUCUGUCCAGGGAAAUCGACAGAGGAGAUUGAUCGAAACCCUAGUUCUAACGCCGGACGGCGAGAGGAUGGCGAAAUGAG
rnacentral:misc_RNA from 1 species